rnacentral:rRNA from 1 species
UACAGAGGGGGCAAGCGUUGUUCGGAAUUACUGGGCGUAAAGGGCGCGUAGGCGGCCUGUUAAGUCGAACGUGAAAUCCCCGGGCUCAACCCGGGAACUGCGUCCGAUACUGGCAGGCUUGAAUACGGAAGAGGCGAGUGGAAUUCCUGGUGUAGCGGUGAAAUGCGCAGAUAUCAGGAGGAACACCGGUGGCGAAGGCGGUUCUCUGGGCAUGUCCUGACGCUGAGGAGCGAAAGUGUGGGGAGCGAACAGG